rnacentral:rRNA from 1 species
AGCAGCCGCGGUAAUUCCAGCUCCAAUAGCGUAUAUUAAAGUUGUUGCAGUUAAAAAGCUCGUAGUUGAACUUCGGGGUCUACCCAUUGGUCAGGCUUAAUUGUCUGCACUGGUGAGAUGGAUCUCUACCUUCUGAGGAACUUUCAUGCCAUUUAUUUGGUGUGGUUGGAAAUCAGGACUGUUACUUUGAAAAAUUGAGUGUUUAAAGCAGACUAUCGUCUGAAUACAUUAGCAUGGAAUAAUGAAAUAGGACGGACUGAUUCUAUUUCGUUGGUUUCUAGGAUCACCGUAAUGAUUAAUAGGGAUAGUUGGGGGCAUUAGUAUUCAAUUGUCAGAGGUGAAAUUCUUGGAUUUAUUGAAGACUAACUACUGCGAAAGCAAUUUGCCAAGGAUGUUUUCAUUAAUCAAGAACGAAAGUUAGGGGAUCGAAGACGAUCAGAUACCGUCGUAGUCUUAACCAUAAACUAUGCCGACUAGGGAUCGGACGAAGUUAAUUUUAUAAUGACGCGUUCGGUAACCC